rnacentral:rRNA from 1 species
UACGUAGGUGGCAAGCGUUGUCCGGAAUUAUUGGGCGUAAAGCGCGCGCAGGUGGUUCCUUAAGUCUGAUGUGAAAGCCCACGGCUCAACCGUGGAGGGUCAUUGGAAACUGGGGAACUUGAGUGCAGAAGAGGAAAGUGGAAUUCCAAGUGUAGCGGUGAAAUGCGUAGAGAUUUGGAGGAACACCGGUGGCGAAGGCGGCGACCUGGUCCGAUACUGACGCUGAGGCGCGAAAGCGUGGGGAGCAAACAGG